AUUGAACGCUGGCGGCAGGCUUAACACAUGCAAGUCGAGCGGUAGCACAGGGGAGCUUGCUCCCUGGUGACGAGCGGCGGACGGGUGAGUAAUGUCUGGGAAACUGCCUGAUGGAGGGGGAUAACUACUGGAAACGGUAGCUAAUACCGCAUAACGUCGCAAGACCAAAGAGGGGGACCUUCGGGCCUCUUGCCAUCAGAUGUGCCCAGAUGGGAUUAGCUAGUAGGUGGGGUAAUGGCUCACCUAGGCGACGAUCCCUAGCUGGUCUGAGAGGAUGACCAGCCACACUGGAACUGAGACACGGUCCAGACUCCUACGGGAGGCAGCAGUGGGGAAUAUUGCACAAUGGGCGCAAGCCUGAUGCAGCCAUGCCGCGUGUGUGAAGAAGGCCUUCGGGUUGUAAAGCACUUUCAGCGAGGAGGAAGGUGGUGAGCUUAAUACGUUCAUCAAUUGACGUUACUCGCAGAAGAAGCACCGGCUAACUCCGUG
rnacentral:rRNA from 1 species